rnacentral:lncRNA from 1 species
UCAACACAGCUGUGCUGCCAGUUGCAAGGAGCCUCAUUCUAGAUCUUUCCUGAGCCUGAUGGAUUUGCAGUGAUGUCCAGUCUCCUGGGGAA